rnacentral:rRNA from 1 species
AAUGGACGAAAGUCUGACGGAGCACGCCGCGUGAGUGAUGAAGGUUUUCGGAUCGUAAAACUCUGUUGUUAGGGAAGAACAAGUACCGUUCGAAUAGGGCGGCACCUUGACGGUACCUAACCAGAAAGCCACGGCUAACUACGUGCCAGCAGCCGCGGUAAUAAAA